UACAUGGAAACGAGUCUCAUACAUUACCCUGUCUUCGCUUGUGGGGAAUUCAUUGGUUAAUUAAACUCUACAUAGGCCUACAUGAGGAGAAACGUUUGUGCCGCAAAAUCUAUGCCAAAAACCACUUUACAGUUUAAAUGAGUUCUUUGACAGUGAAACAGCAAAUUUGACUCCCGAAACAAUGCAGCGACAUAUGAAAUCAAGUGAACAUGUUUUUAACAGGGUCGGAGCUGGAACUUUUGUGUGGCUACUUACAAGUCGCUAUUUAUCUUCCAAAAUACUAAAAGUACUUCGUACAUCCCAGUUUGCCUCCCCAGGAACUAUAACAUGGGUGCUCUUGGAGCCUUUAUACCUUCACAUCGAUUAAGGAACUUUUCCUCCUCUAC